UGCGUAGGUGGUGGGGUAAGUCGGAUGUGAAAGCUCGGAGCUCAACUCCGAAAUGGCAUUGGAAACUACCCUGCUGGAGGUUUGGAGGGGGGACUGGAAUACUUGGUGUAGCAGUGAAAUGCGUAGAUAUCAAGUGGAACACCAGUGGCGAAGGCGAGUCCCUGGACAAAACCUGACACUGAGGCACGAAAGCUAGGGGAGCAAACA
rnacentral:rRNA from 1 species